UCUAAUCAAAUGACUAACGAAAUGUUUGGUCGUUCUCUCCGUGACGCAAUAUAUAUAAAUGUGUGUGUGUGUGUGUGUAAAUAUCUAAAAUCUCUAGGUUGCCAUAUUGUCGCCAAAAUAUAUCGAUUCUUAAUAGGAACAUAUGACAAUAUUGGAGGUCAUUCAACUAGUACAGUCCGCUUACAUCAUUUAUCUUAAAGAGUACUGUACACUGAUCUUAUUAUCAAAGAAGAAUGAUUAUUAGAUGUCACAUAAGGCUGUGCAAAUUUUAACGGCAAAUUUUAAUCACUAGAUAGUUAUUUAAUUAUAUUGAGGAAUAAUAGUUCCUUUGCGUGAUUUCAUUGAUGAGAAAUUAAGAAGAUACUUUUAUUGUCAGAGACGUAAAAGUUUAUUCAUCAUGCAUUUGAAUCAGAUGUCCAAAACAUUUACAUUGUUUUAUAUAUUACUUACAUAUUAUAUUGUAAAACCAGAUUUAUGUGAUUUUAUAUAUGAGAAAUUCAAUAAAUGAUCUUAACAUUGAAGACAGAGACUUUUACUCGUCAUGCGUUUGAUAUAGAUGCUCAGAACUUUUGCAAUUAUUUAUAUAUAUUGUAAAAACAGAUUCUCAGAAAGUUAUUUCACGAUAAUGUAUUGUCAAAACACCUAUGUAAAAGGCAGUCAUCAAGAUAUAAAAAUUUAAAUACGUUUGAGAUGAUAUUAUACUUUACUAUGAUUGCUUCAGUAUUUUAUAAAUUUGAAGUCCUGAUCUUAUAAAUAAUAUAUUUAUGACGAAGAAUUGAAUUUUCCAAGACAAAAAAAUAUUGAUAAUAUUAUAUCGUCUGAUUCUGAUUCGGAUGUUGAUAAGUGCAAUAAAGAAUUGUGCACAGAUAUGGAUAUUGGUCAGACUCUAUAUGAAUAAACUAUUAAAAAAGAUAUUGAAAUUGAUAAUGCAGAAGAAAAUAUAAUUGAACGUAAUGAAUGAAAGGAAUAUAUCGGAUAGGAAGAAUCAUUUUCUUUUAUUGUAACAACGAGUCUGCUUUAAAGAACUACUUAAUACUAUCAAUCCGUACAAAGUGUUUUCUUUGUUCAUUAGCGAUGAAAUAAUAAAUGUUCUUAAAACAAAUAUAUAUACAGAACAAAAACUAAAUUCAAACUUACUAUACACGCAUGGUUAUAUAAAUGAACUAAUUAAUUCUGAUUAAAUAGAAAUAUUCUUGGGACUACUGAUAUCAAUGAAACUUGUAAAAAAAAAUUUUAUAAAUAAUCAAAUCAUAUAUAUUAGGUCAAUGUACCAUAUAUAUAACUUUCAUUUAUCAUAUAGUAUCAUAUCAUGAAACAGAUUCAAAUUAUUACACAGUAAUUUAAAUUUUAAUAAUAUUGCUCAAGGUAAUCAAUUUGGAAAAAUACUUCCACUUUUUGAUAAAGUACAGAAAAAAUAUCAAGAGAUGUUAUUGGUAUCGAUGAAACAUUGACUCUAUGGUGUGAUAGAUAUAUCAAAUAAGGUUUAUAAAUAUGGGAUAAAGUUAUUAUACAAACUAUGCUGACCUGAAAAAUAUACAUAGUCAAUCAAACUCUACUUUCAUAAAUCAUUAAAUGGUUACGUUAUAUAAAUAAAAAACGCUUCGAUGAUUAAUCAAAAGCAAAAGAAAAAUUAUAAAAAAAACAACAACUUAUUAUCUAAUCUGUUCUGAAAAACAUCGAUUGUGUAUGUCAUGUUUAAUAAUUCUACAUUCGAAUUAAUUUUUUCCAUAAAAUCGUUUAUAAUGAUACAUCAUUAUAUUGUAUUUAUAAUACUUUAUUAAUCCUACUAUAUAUUCAUAAUUAUCCUUUUAAAUAUCUACUUUGAGCAGAUAAUAUCAUCACAUAAUCAUCACUUUUAUAUGGGUAACAUGAAAGUCAAUACGUUAAAAUUAUAUUUAAAGAUAGUAAUUGAAAUUUUAUGUUAUGCAUAUCUAUAAUAACAAAUUGCAGGAUAACAGAGAGAAAAAGAGAGCAUAGUUGUUUUAUUAAUUAAAAUUAAAAGAUGAAUUGUAUGUACAAAUUCUAUUACGUGUGAUACAUGUCUCUAUUCUUUUCUAUUUAUUAUUUUUGUAUUCAUUACUUAUUUCAAAUUGUUUUUUUUUAAAUAGCGGUUGAUCUUUUUUUUAAACUAUGAUCUCAAGUAAUAAUAAUAUUUAUGUUGUUGUAUUUUAUAUUAUUGUAGUUUCUUUUUGAAACGUUAUGUAAAUAUUUUAUUGCAAAAUUAAAACGAUUGUUCAAAGAAAAAAUAUUUAUCGUCAUCUUUGAAAAAUUUCUUAUAAUUGUAUUAAAUAUAAGGAAGAUUUUUUGUUAUAUACUGAAAUUAAAAUCUGUAAGAAUUACAAUUUCAAAAACAUUUUUGUGCUAUAAAUGAAACUUAAUAAAAAGAGAGAAUUCUUGUGCAAUUUAAUAAUAAAAAUUGAUGAUUCAUAAAAACAUAACAAAAAAGUUGUAAUUUGUAAGAAACAAAGUAUUGUCAUCUAGUACUGACAAAUUAUUAAAUUACUAAAUUAAUAAAUUAAAACAUGAAUAAAUUAAUCGAUCCAAAUAAUCAAAAAUCUUAAUA